GACGAACGCUGGCGGCGUGCUUAACACAUGCAAGUCGAACGGAAAGGCCUGCAGCUUGCUGCGGGUACUCGAGUGGCGAACGGGUGAGUAACACGUGGGUGAUCUGCCUUGCACUUCGGGAUAAGCUUGGGAAACUGGGUCUAAUACCGGAUAGGACAGCUGUUUAGUGUCAGUUGUGGAAAGUUUUUUCGGUGCAAGAUGAGCUCGCGGCCUAUCAGCUUGUUGGUGGGGUAAUGGCCUACCAAGGCGUCGACGGGUAGCCGGCCUGAGAGGGUGUACGGCCAAUUUGGGAUGGGGAUAGGGCCCAGACCCCUAGGGGGGGAAGGGGGGGGGAAUUUGGCAAAAUGGGCGGAAGCCGGAUGCAGGGACGCGGGGGGGGGGAUGAAGGCCUUGGGGUUGAAAACCCUUUUCGCCAGGGACGAAGCUUUUGUGACGGUACCUGUAAAAGAAGCCCCGGCUAACUACGG
rnacentral:rRNA from 1 species